GAUGAACGCUGACAGCAUGCUUAACACAUGCAAGUCAUUGGCGAAGCUGCGCUUGCGCAGUCUAGCCAAGGCGGACGGGUGAGUAACGCGUAAGGAACUUGCCCUGCAGACAGGGAUAACAGACUGAAACGACUGAUAACACCUGGUAUUGUCAGGCUGGCGCAUGCCGGCCUGAUGAAAGGAGACGCUGCAGGAGAGCCUUGCGUCCUAUUAGCUAGUUGGUGGGGUAACGGCCCACCAAGGCGAUGAUAGGUAGCCGGCCUGAGAGGGUGAACGGCCACAAGGGGACUGAGAUACGGCACUUACUCAUACGGGAGGCAGCAGUGGGGAAUAUUGGAAAAUGGGGGCAACCCUGAUCCAGCAAUUCUGUGUGCACGAAGAAGGUUUUCGGAUUGUAAAGUGCUUUCAGCAGGGAAGAAGAAAGUGACGGUACCUGCAGAAGAAGCGACGGCUAAAUACGUG
rnacentral:rRNA from 1 species